AAUAUUUCACAAUGGAGGGAACUCUGAUGCAGCAACGCCGCGAGAGUGAAGAAGGUUUUCGGAUCGUAAAACUCUGUCCUUGGGGAAGAAUAAAUGACGGUACCCAAUGAGGACGCCCCAGCUAACCACGUGCCAGCAGCCUGGGUAAUUCGCAGGGGGUGAGCGUUGUCCGGAAUUACUGGGCGUAAAGGGUACGUAGGCGGCUAUAUAAGUCAGGUGUGAAAUACCAGUGCUUAACACUGGAAUUGCAUUUGAAACUGUGUAGCUUGAGUGCAGGAGAGGAAAGUGGAAUUCCUAGUGUAGCGGUGAAAUGCGUAGAGAUUAGGAGGAACACCAGUGGCGAAGGCGACUUUCUGGACUGUAACUGACGCUGAGGUACGAAAGCGUGGGUAGCGAACA
rnacentral:rRNA from 1 species